rnacentral:rRNA from 1 species
GACGAACGCUGGCGGCGUGCCUAAUACAUGCAAGUAGAACGCACAGUUUAUACCGUAGCUUGCUACACCAUAGACUGUGAGUUGCGAACGGGUGAGUAACGCGUAGGUAACCUGCCUGGUAGCGGGGGAUAACUAUUGGAAACGAUAGCUAAUACCGCAUAAUAUUAAUUAUUGCAUGAUAAUUAAUUGAAAGGUGCAAUUGCACCACUACCAGAUGGACCUGCGUUGUAUUAGCUAGUAGGUGAGGUAACGGCUCACCUAGGCGACGAUACAUAGCCGACCUGAGGGGGUGAUCGGCCACACUGGGACUGAGACAAGGCCCAGACUCCUACGGGAGGCAGCAGUAGGGAAUCUUCGGCAAUGGACGAAAGUCUGACCGAGCAACGCCGCGUGAGUGAAGAAGGUUUUCGGAUCGUAAAGCUCUGUUGUAAGAGAAGAACGGGUGUGAGAGUGGAAAGUUCACACUGUGACGGUAUCUUACCAGAAAGGGACGGCUAACUACGUG